rnacentral:rRNA from 1 species
UAUUGCACAAUGGGCGCAAGCCUGAUGCAGCGACGCCGCGUGCGGGAUGACGGCCUUCGGGUUGUAAACCGCUUUUGACUGGGAGCAAGCCCUUCGGGGUGAGUGUACCUUUCGAAUAAGCACCGGCUAACUACGUGCCAGCAGCCGCGGUAAUACGUAGGGUGCAAGCGUUAUCCGGAAUUAUUGGGCGUAAAGGGCUCGUAGGCGGUUCGUCGCGUCCGGUGUGAAAGUCCAUCGCUUAACGGUGGAUCCGCGCCGGGUACGGGCGGGCUUGAGUGCGGUAGGGGAGACUGGAAUUCCCGGUGUAACGGUGGAAUGUGUAGAUAUCGGGAAGAACACCAAUGGCGAAGGCAGGUCUCUGGGCCGUCACUGACGCUGAGGAGCGAAAGCGUGGGGAGCGAACAGGAUUAGAUACCCUGGUAGUCCACGCCGUAAACGGUGGAUGCUGGAUGUGGGGACCAUUCCACGGUCUCCGUGUCGGAGCCAACGCGUUAAGCAUCCCGCCUGGGGAGUACGGCCGCAAGGCUAAAACUCAAAGAAAUUGACGGGGGCCCGCACAAGCGGCGGAGCAUGCGGAUUAAUUCGAUGCAACGCGAAGAACCUUACCUGGGCUUGACAUGUUCCCGACAGCCCCAGAGAUGGGGCCUCCCUUCGGGGCGGGUUCACAGGUGGUGCAUGGUCGUCGUCAGCUCGUGUCGUGAGAUGUUGGGUUAAGUCCCGCAACGAGCGCAACCCUCGCCCUGUGUUGCCAGCACGUCGUGGUGGGAACUCACGGGGGACCGCCGGGGUCAACUCGGAGGAAGGUGGGGAUGACGUCAGAUCAUCAUGCCCCUUACGUCCAGGGCUUCACGCAUGCUACAAUGGCCGGUACAACGGGAUGCGACCUCGUGAGGGGGAGCGGAUCCCUUAAAACCGGUCUCAGUUCGGAUUGGAGUCUGCAACCCGACUCCAUGAAGGCGGAGUCGCUAGUAAUCGCGGAUCAGCAACGCCGCGGUGAAUGCGUUCCCGGGCCUUGUACACACCGCCCGUCAAGUCAUGAAAGUGGGUAGCACCCGAAGCCGGUGGCCCAACCUUUUGGGGGGAGCCGUCUAAGGUGAGACUCGUGAUUGGGACUAAGUCGUAACAAGGUAGCCGUACCGGAAGGUGCGGCUG